UACAGAGGUCUCAAGCGUUGUUCGGAUUCAUUGGGCGUAAAGGGUGCGUAGGUGGCGCGCUAAGUCAGGUGUGAAAUCUCGGGGCUUAACUCCGAAACUGCAUUUGAUACUGGCGUGCUUGAGGACUGGAGAGGAGACUGGAAUUCAUGGUGUAGCAGUGAAAUGCGUAGAGAUCAGGAGGAAGACCAGUGGCGAAGGCGGGUCUCUGGACAGUUCCUGACACUGAGGCACGAAGGCCAGGGGAGCAAACGGG
rnacentral:rRNA from 1 species